UCCAGCGCCGAGAAUACUGGGAGGGCAGCCUCCUGGGAAGGUAGGUCGUUGCCAGGC
rnacentral:rRNA from 1 species